rnacentral:lncRNA from 1 species
AGUAGAGCUGUCAAUUUGUUGGGCUAAGCAAAUUUGGGCCCAGCCCCCAACAUAAAGGGGGCCUAAAUUUGAUAAUCAUAAUGAGCCCCAAAAAGACUAAGCCCCAAAAAGACUAAGCCCCAAAGUUAAAACAUAGGCCCCAAGGCUCAAAAUGGGCCCCAAAGCCCAAUUUUAUCCAAAAAAUCUGAGAAUUAAUUUUUUUUGGGAAUUUCGAUAACAAUAUUGUAAUUAAGAAUUGAAACCAACAGCUAAAAGUAGUAACAAUAUUGCCAUCUGGGN